ensembl:snoRNA small nucleolar RNA SNORA43
CAGGUGCUGGACCUGCGGCACCACAGACGCUGCCGGGCUGCGCCUGUGACGUCGGGGCCCAGAGGAAGUGGCCAGUUCUACCCUCAGUGCUCAGAACAGUGGGCACUAGGAUGGUUUGUAGCCUGACAUUC